rnacentral:rRNA from 1 species
GACUCCAUGAAGCUGGAUUCGCUAGUAAUCGCGCAUCAGCCACGGCGCGGUGAAUACGUUCCCGGGCCUUGUACACACCGCCCGUCAAGCCAUGGAAGCCGGGGGGUGCCUGAAGUGCGCUGCCGCAAGGAGCGUCCUAGGGUAAAACCGGUGACUGGGGCUAAGUCGUAACAAGGUAAC